GCAUCUUGUAUCAUUGGAGAAAUGAGAUUUCAUAUAAGAGAGCCUGAGAUGUGAAGAUGGAUCCAGAAUAGUGGGAUUGCUAUGAUAGAAUAUGAAGGAGAAAAGGAGAUUGAAUAUCUUAGUGUAUUGAUAGAUAUCAUAGAACUGAAGUAUGGAUCCAAUAAUUUGAUAUUCCUGUUUCAGUGUGAAUGGUGGGAUAUUAGCA
rnacentral:lncRNA from 1 species